ACAAUGCAGUCGAACGGCAGCGCGGGAGCAAUCCUGGCGGCGAGUGGCGAACGGGUGAGUAAUACAUCGGAACGUGCCCAAUCGUGGGGGAUAACGCAGCGAAAGCUGUGCUAAUACCGCAUACGAUCUACGGAUGAAAGCAGGGGAUCGCAAGACCUUGCGCGAAUGGAGCGGCCGAUGGCAGAUUAGGUAGUUGGUGAGGUAAAGGCUCACCAAGCCUUCGAUCUGUAGCUGGUCUGAGAGGACGACCAGCCACACUGGGACUGAGACACGGCCCAGACUCCUACGGGAGGCAGCAGUGGGGAAUUUUGGACAAUGGGCGAAAGCCUGAUCCAGCCAUGCCGCGUGCAGGAUGAAGGCCUUCGGGUUGUAAACUGCUUUUGUACGGAACGAAACGGUCUUUUCUAAUACAGAAGGCUAAUGACGGUACCGUAAGAAUAAGCACCGGCUAACUACGUGCCAGCAGCCGCGGUAAUACGUAGGGUGCAAGCGUUAAUCGGAAUUACUGGGCGUAAAGCGUGCGCAGGCGGUUAUGUAAGACAGUUGUGAAAUCCCCGGGCUCAACCUGGGAACUGCAUCUGUGACUGCAUAGCUAGAGUACGGUAGAGGGGGAUGGAAUUCCGCGUGUAGCAGUGAAAUGCGUAGAUAUGCGGAGGAACACCGAUGGCGAAGGCAAUCCCCUGGACCUGUACUGACGCUCAUGCACGAAAGCGUGGGGAGCAAACAGGAUUAGAUACCCUGUAGUCCACGCCCUAAACGAUGUCAACUGGUUGUUGGGUCUUCACUGACUCA
rnacentral:rRNA from 1 species